AGGGGUUUGGAUCCUGGGCUCAGAACGAACGCUGGCGGCAGGCUUAACACAUGCAAGUCGAAGGUGAAGCGGGGCUUCGGCCCCGUGGAAACUGGCGCACGGGUGAGUAACGCGUGGGAAUCUACCCCGGGGUGGGGAAUAACCGCUGGAAACGGCGGCUAAUACCGCAUACGCCUUGCGAGGGAAAGCUUUAGCGCCCUGGGACGAGCCCGCGUCGGAUUAGCUUGUUGGUGAGGUAACGGCUCACCAAGGCUUCGAUCCGUAGCUGGUCUGAGAGGAUGAUCAGCCACACUGGGACUGAGACACGGCCCAGACUCCUACGGGAGGCAGCAGUGGGGAAUAUUGGACAAUGGGGGCAACCCUGAUCCAGCCAUGCCGCGUGCGUGAAGAAGGCCCUAGGGUUGUAAAGCGCUUUCGGCGGGGAAGAUGAUGACGGUACCCGCAGAAGAAGCUCCGGCUAACUCCGUGCCAGCAGCCGCGGUAAUACGGAGGGGGCUAGCGUUGUUCGGAAUUACUGGGGCGUAAAGGGCGCGUAGGCGGACUGUCAAGUCAGAGGUGAAAGCCCUGGGCUCAACCUGGGAACUGCCUUUGAAACUAACGGUCUAGAGUCCGAGAAGAGGAUGGCGGAAUUCCCAGGUGUAAAGGGUGGAAAUUCGUA
rnacentral:rRNA from 1 species